GGAGGGGGCCCGGGGCGCGCGGGGUGGCCGGUAACUAGGAGACCCGCGCGCCAGUGAUACCUGAAGCGCUGCCCCGAGGAGCUGACGGCGGCCGCUCCCUGUGUCCCUGCUCGGGACUCGGACCUCGCGCGCAAGGUGUCAUGGCUAGAAAUUACCUUCAACUCAAAUCCUGAAAUUGAGUGACACUGUGAAGAAUUGAUUCAGGAGAAAGCAGGAGUUCCCAUCUGUGAUCGUGAAAUCAAAAUUAAGGAGAUCCCAAUGGGAACUUGCAUCGCUGGACAAUUUCUUCAUGACUCAUCAUGCCUGCACUGAGCUUUGGGAGCCAAAGCAGAGUGGUGGAGGAAAGCACACAGGGGCUGAGCCAGAGAGCGGGGUAUAAGGCAGG